GAUCCCGGACACCCACUUUCAAGAGCCCAAUCUCCUGGCUAUUGCUCAUCUUCCCUUCUCUCUUCUGAUCACCAUAUUUAAUAGCUUCCAUCACUCUUGCUCUCUCAAAGAUUGCACUGAGGCAAAACACGCACUCACUCAAAGACAAUCUGGGUACUACCAGUUUAAUGCCGACUCUGAUUCCACACUUCAGAAAGGUAUGCCUUUAAUGUAUGAUAAAUUUAGCCAACUUGCUUCUCUUGAUUUGGAAGGGUAUGACUCCAAUCACUUUG